rnacentral:lncRNA from 1 species
AAAUAUUUCCCCUUUAAAAAGUAUUAUUUGAAAGUAAAAGACUGGAACUGUUGUCUUUAAACUGAGUUGUUUCCUUGUUUGGUCUGAUAUAUCUGAAAUUUACAGCUUUAUCCUAAGGUGGAAUUGACUAAAAUUUAGCAUGUAGAGAAAGUAUAAAGAUCUUUAAAUAAACAUUUAAAAUCUAGGCACAACCACGCAUGGUGGCUCAGGGUGUGUGUGCGUGUGUGCGUGCGUGCGUGCGUGCGUGUUUUCCCUCUCUUGUUUUAGCUUAACCAAACAAAAGCAGCAAUGCCAACUAUUUACUUACCAUUCCAACAUACCUAAGUAUGGUACAAUAAAAAUAUUUUAACCUGUUUUCUCACAGUAGCUCUAAUACCAAUCUUCAAGUUAUAUUCAGCAUCUGCCACAAGUCACAUUUGUUUUUGAUAUAGCUUGAAUUUACUCAUGUGUCUAUGAAAUGGAAUCAUUUUUAGCAUUUAUAGUGUAUCAUUUACCUGCUGUACAAAUAUUUUUGCAGCUUUUUGUAUGUGCCAGCUACUUUUCUGAGCACUGGGUAUCCAAAAAGCAAAACCAAAACCAAAUAUAAAUAUAUUGUGCUAAAGGUUGUCACAAGUCAGUUGUGCAGUAGAGGUAACCUGACUCCCUGAGGCUCACUUUGCAAGUGCUAAAAUUGUCACACAGUUCCCCGUUAUGUCUGAAUCAAUACCAAUCCUUGUGACUAGGGCAGCUGGUCAAAUCAUAUAUUCACUGCUCUACAGUAUUAGAAAUGCAUCUGUCUUUGGUGAAGACUAGCCUAUCAUUCUUGUGCCAUUGGAUAUCACCCCCAUGCUUGUUGUCCUGAACAG